AUGGAGGAGCUUAAUUCAGAGAGAGCGCGUGUGAUCGCUGCUGACAAGAAGGUUGUAGAACUGCAGCAGCAACUGAAGAAUGCACUGCACCAGCUACGUCUAGAGGAGGCCAGAGCGGGAGAGACCAGCAAACUGGAGAGAGACACCAGAGACAUGUCUGAUAACCUGUCUGCCCUCAGAGCCCGACUGCAAGAGGAGCAACUACAGAGGAAACUACUUCAGCAGAAAGAUGAGAAACUCCAGCAGCAGGUGCACUCAUUGCAGGCGAAGGAGGCAACUCUGACACGCACUAACUCAGAGAUGUCUCACCGCACACAGGAGCUGGAGAGUGAACUUAACACAGCUAGAGAAGAGCAGAGAAGCAGUCAGAAGAGCUGCCACAGGCUGGAAGAACAGCUGCUGUCUUCCCAGCAUGAGUCUGAGAGACUGCAGGAAGAACUGAAGCUGGUCGACAGCAGCUUGACACUAACAUCAGGAGAUACUAUGAGAAACAGUCUCAACACAAAACCAAAUUGCGCAGAGCUAAACAGAUCUUCAUGA
rnacentral:lncRNA from 1 species